UACAGAGGUCCCAAGCGUUGUUCGGAUUCACUGGGCGUAAAGGGUGCGUAGGCGGUCGGGUAAGUCUGAUGUGAAAUCUCACAGCUUAACUGUGAAACUGCAUUGGAUACCAUUCGGCUUGAGAGUUGGAGGGGGGACUGGAAUUCUCGGUGUAGCAGUGAAAUGCGUAGAUAUCGAGAGGAACACCAGUGGCGAAGGCGGGUCUCUGGGCCGGUACCGACGCUGAGGAGCGAAAGCGUGGGGAGCGAACAGG
rnacentral:rRNA from 1 species